UUGAUGAUCCCACCAAGUUUCUGCACCAAGAACCAUUCGUCCCUGCCCACAGCCAAUUGUUACCCUCAAGUAAGACAUAAGAAUGUUCUUCUACAUUCUCAGAAUGAGUUGAUUGUGUACUGAGGGAAGUUCUGAAAAAAUCAGGAGCAACCUCUGCCUUCUCUCCUGUUGAGUGUUUGGAAGCAAGUGACCUGGGGCCCAGUCGCAAGUUUCCAGAGUUCUCUUCACCAAUUAUUGGGUCAUCAUGUAAAAUUAGAUACCUAGCAGCUUUUCCUGAGAAAAUGAAAACGAUCACUUUUCAAGAUCCCACAAUGUGGUGGACCCUGUAUUGGCACUUUCCUGAAAUGAUUUCAUUUGGCUUCCCCCAAAAUUUAUCUUUCUUGUGAGACAGGCAAGAUGGUUAAACUAAGCACCGAUGCCCAUGGAGAAGUUUGCUCAGCUGUCUGCCUUUUGGGGCAUGGAGUCAUAUUUCCUCCCACCCUCUGCCAGGAAAGUCAGACUGGCAACUUGAAAGAAAGUCCAAUGACAAUCUUACUUCACAACCAGUAUAAUAAAACAGAAACAAGCCAGAUUCAGAGUUGAUUUAGGCAGAAUAAGUCAUGAAUCACCUUGUUCUCAUGGCUCUGUCCUUGGUACUGGGCCCGGGGCACGACCUCUUGCUUAGGCAUCUGGAUUUCCUGAAGACUCCUGGCACUGGUGAGAUGGCCCACCAGUCCCUGCCUCUGCCUCUCACUGUCUGUUUAUCCUUUGACCACCUUUAACACUUUCUCUGACCCUCAUACCCCAAUGCUAGCCUUUUUAAUCUUUCUUAAAUCCCUGAAGUCCACAUCACCACUCAA